GAGGGAGUAGCCAAAUGGUAAGGCAAUAGUUUUUGGUACUAUGAUGUAUUGGUUCGAUUCCAAUCUUCCUCU